AAGAAUUUAGUUAAACUAUAACAUCAGCUUGUCAAACUGAAAUAAAUACAAAAUAUUAAUUCUUA
rnacentral:tRNA from 1 species